CACACACCACACACCCCACACAUACUCCCCACACACUGCACACGUACAUACAGUGCCACACACAUAGAGCAAACACAUACCUCACAUACAUACACCACACCACACACACAUUCUACAAACACAUCAAGCACACAUCACAUACACCACACACAUAUCACAUGCACACAUCACAUAUAGUACACAUACACACCAAACACACAUACACCACAAACACAGCACAUAUACACACCAUGCACCACCCACAUACUACACACAGUAUACACACAUAACACCCACAAUACACUCCACACACACAUAUACAUACCCCGUGUACCUACUACACACACAGACCACACACACAUAUCAUGCAUACACCUGCACACACCUCACAGAAUACAUACAAUCCUCACUUUUAGAAAUUAAUUUGGCUUUUAAGGAGCCUGGAUAGUAAAGUAUUUUAUUGGCGUUUGAGUGAGCCAAGAAAAUGCGUAUAAAUACACAUGCAUAACUAUGAGGGCCCAAGCAGCACUUUCGAAAUCACAACAUGAGAUUAAACCGUGUAAAUUUUUUAUUGUUUUUAAAAAGUCAACUCUUUCUCAUUUUACUAGAAACUAUUUACCAGAGUAAACUAAUGAGAUUCUUCCUGAGGUCAAAAGACUUUCUGGAAAAACUUCUCCUUGAUGAAAUUGCACUUAAAACAUCACUUUCAUCGUGAAGUAUUUCUUUAAGAUGUUCUUGGUCCUUUUCCUGUUAUGUGGAAUCGUCAAUUCAAAUUUUUAAAAGUGACUCUGAUAUGUUUUUCAUCUAUUAUUUAAAAAAUGUUGAAGGGCUUUUUAAUUCUGCCUUCAGCAGAGAUCGACACACUCUGAUUAUGAUGUAAAACUGAAUACGUUACUCUGACAGGCUUUCUCCUCUGCAGCGCCGCUACCAUCAUUAUUAAUAAUGAUUGAAUGCUUUUACUCCAUGCACAAUCUAUAUUCCCUGCUUUAUAAAGAAUAGAAAUCUAAUUCUCACUAUGAAGGCAGAUAAAAGUAAUCCCUUCAAUCUACAGAUGACUGAAUCAUUUACCAAAGCACUCAGACUUUAAAUAGAAUUUAUCAAAUGUGUCUAUAUUUCUAUGCAUAUAAUUCAUAUAAAGAACAUGUAGUUUAAAUCAUUGCACAUUUUAUGCUUUUAAUCAGUUGUGAUGGUCAUUAGUAUUUUUAUCACAUUUCUCCAAAGGUAGGCUAAUCACUGUUAUUAUUUUCAGCUAGAAAUAUAAAAGGUAUUUUCUAUUUUUGAUGACUUUGAAACAUAACCCUUGGAAUAUAAUAUCUGUGUAUAAUAUCUGUGGAAAGCAUGAAAGUAAUAUUCAAACAGUAUGCAUUUUUUCCAGAAUGAAAAUUUCCUCUACAAUAACAUUCAUCCUUUUUUCCUGAUGGACACAUAAAAGUCAACAUUUCUAACAUUGCUGGACGUUAUUUACAUUAAACUUGCCUCAGCUUCAGGUGUUGCAGAAACUGGGCAAGAGGCCACAAGGUACACAAUACACACACACACACACAAACUUGUAUUAUUAUACUUACCUAAGUGUCUAAAGAGGUGGAUAAAUAUAUUAGAUUGCUCCAGAACAAGGAUUUUUAUGGGGCCUAUUGGAAAGUAUGACUGCAGUUUGAGUGAGAUGCCUGUAAGAGAUUCAAUUUGGCCACUAUUUAUUGAGUAUCCAAUUUUAAAAGUACUGACAGAAGGCUCAUGAGUUAGAAAUUUUCACCUAAGUCUAUUGGAAAUGUG
rnacentral:lncRNA from 1 species